ACCCCAGACUCCUACGGGAGGCAGCAGUGGGGAAUAUUGCACAAUGGGGGAAACCCUGAUGCAGCGACGCCGCGUGAGCGAAGAAGUCAUUCGUUAUGUAAAGCUCUAUCAGCAGGGAAGAAAAUGACGGUACCUGAGUAAGAAGCCCCGACUAACUACGUGCCAGCAGCCGCGGUAAUACGUAGGGGGCAAGCGUUAUCCGGAUUUACUGGGUGUAAAGGGCGUGUAGGCGGGGAAGCAAGUCAGAUGUGAAAACCACGGGCUCAACCUGUGGCCUGCAUUUGAAACUGUUUUUCUUGAGUACUGGAGAGGCAGACGGAAUUCCUAGUGUAGCGGUGAAAUGCGUAGAUAUUAGGAGGAACACCAGUGGCGAAGGCGGUCUGCUGGACAGCAACUGACGCUGAGGCGCGAAAGCGUGGGGAGCAAACAGGAUUAGAUACCCUGGUAGU
rnacentral:rRNA from 1 species